AUGUCCACGGCUCGUCGACCCGGCGUGGUAGUGAACGGCGUUCAAAGAGCAAGAACCCACCACUACUAUUGGUGCCGGCGCUGCCAACGCUCCAUCAGAACCACCACCACCGACCCCUCCCAAGUCCUAUGCCCGCGCUGCUUCGGCCAAAUCCGCCACGAGCUCGACGUCUCCAGGCCCGGCCCCCUCCUGGAGUCCGGCCUCGACCCCUCUCCAGCCGCGCGCGUGCUGGACGCCCUCGCCCGGAUGCUCGACCCGCCCACCCCGCCACGCCAGCAAAUCGAAGACGGCGAAAGCAGCAGGCGCCGCUCCUUGAUACUGCUUCAGUUCAUCGGGCCCGAUCAAUAUCAUCCUCCCACCGAGCCCGUGGUUGCCGGGAGUGACAGGGCGGCGGCGGUGGAGGCGCUGCCGGUGGUGGAGGUGAGCGAGGAGCGGCGGAAGAGCGAGUGGUGCUGCCCGGUUUGCAAGGAGGACUUCGAGGUUGGGGUGAGAGUUAGGGAGCUUCCGUGCAAGCACUUCUAUCAUGAUGAUUGCAUUAUUCCUUGGCUGCAAAUGCACAACACGUGCCCCGUGUGUCGCUACGAGGUGCAAGGGCUACCGUCUAACAACAACGACAAUAACAACGAUAUGAAUAGUAAUUUCUUCUUCCCUGGUGAUGAAUACGAUCUUGGGUAUAGAGGCGGAGAAGAAGGAGGUGAUGGUUCCGGAAAUUGGAGGUGGCCGGAGAUCUUCUCGUCGAGGCCAUUCAGUUUCCUUAUGAAUUGGGCAAAUCUAUGCCUUGACUUUAUUGACGACACCAUCGCUCCAGGAGGUAACUCUUGGUGGCGAUCUUGGCCCAUGCCAUAGCUAGCUUUGUCAUUUAAUUGAAGGUAAAAUUAAUAAUAUGAAUUAGACAUUAAAGAGGAUGAAGAUAGGUUCAGCACAGGUACUCAGAGUCUCAGAGCAACAAUUGGUGGAAACGAUUCAGAGUUAAUUAGUACUAGUAUGCUCUAUAAUCAGCUGACUCAAUGGAGAUGGGAGGUGCUGCCCUGCUUGCCCAAAUUGCGGAGAUACUUAUCUAAUUUGUAAAUAUAUCGAUAGUUUAUAUAGAGCAGCAUUAUUUAUUUGUUUUUAUCUUUUUAUUUAAUAAAUACAGAUUGGUGUUGCAUAUAAAAAAUUUCA